GCAUCAUAUUGCCGGAUUGCGAUUCAUCAGGAACCUCUUCACGAUCAGAAAGUCGGCAUCUGGUGUGCUGUGUCUGGAACUUGGAUUGUGGGUCCCAUAUUUUUUGAGACAACAGUGAACACGAAAGUGUACAUGAGAAUUUUUGAGGACUUUUAUGGAAGGUUGACGCUGGAAGAACGUGGGUACGCCUUCUUCCAACAAGACGGCGCGACUUGUGACACUUCACACGUGUCACUGGCACGAAUUUGGGAGGCAUUUACAGAAGACAGGAUUGUCACCAAAAGAUUGUGGCCACCAAGAUCACCGGACUUAACUUGUGACUUAUCUGUGGGUCAUUUUGAAGGGAAAAGUGUAUGCUAAUAACCCGAGAACUUUACAGCAGUUGAAAGACAAUAUUCGUAAUGCAAUUCAGAGGACUGGUGCCCCAGAGUUGCGUCGCGUAUAUGACAAUAUGCUAUGGUGCGCCCAAAACUGCAUUGACGCACAAGGGGAUCAUUUCCAGCACUUUCUGUAAAGAAGAGGGAAGCUAUGGAGAAAUACAGUAUAUCGACGAGGCCCUAAAUGCUGGCAUAUUCCGGUUCUCUUCAUCACCGAAGCUUUUCAACCCAUCCAGAAAGCAUCAUUCUUCUCUUCAGUGGACCUGCGUGAUGUCCACCACCUAGUCCAAGAAGGUUCCCUGAAGAUGACAAACACCACCGUGUUCGUGAUUGGGAUCUAGCCAUAAAACAUUCCCCACAAGAAUAGAGACACUGUCUAGAAGGAACAUAUAUUUCUGUAAUAGUCUGGACGGACCACAACAACCUUUUCUCAGAAUGCUGAAAGACUCAAUCCCUUGUUAUUCUCCAGGUUCAAUCUCAACAUCACUUAACAAAUUCCAGAAGCAUAAAACUACAUGCACUCUCUUGACAGUUCUCUCCAGAUGAAUCUGAGGAGAACUGAUUCUCUGGAGAGUAUCAGUUCUCUCUAGAGCAUCUUGUACUAUGAGAAAUUGCACUUGGGGACUUGGAACAACGUAUUCAAAGCACCACAGAGGAGGAAUCAGACCCUGGAGGAGGUCUCCCUAUCUGUCUCUUUGUCCCGUCAAAUGUCCAAUACCAGGUUUUCCAGUGGACUCACUCUUCUGGGUUCUCCUGUCUCCCUGGAGUUAGUCACACUAGUGGCUUCCUCCGUUGUCAUUUCUGGUGGCCAUCUCUUAAUAAGGAUACCACCAGCUUUGUCCCUUUGCUCAAGGAAAUAUCUUUUCCCACCCUCCUGAGGAGUUACUUCAACAUCUUUCCAUUACCAAUCAGACUCAGUCCCACAUCUCACUAGAUUUUGUCACUGGUCUACUUGUUUCUAAAAACAAGACUCUUGUUCUUACCUUAAUUGACAUGUUUUCUAAGGCUUGCCAUCUCA